rnacentral:snoRNA from 1 species
AAGCUUAGGAUGAUAAAAAAAAAACAAAUAUCUUAGCGGAUUUCAGUGAGGUUUUAUCGAUCAAUGAUCUGACUUUGUUACACACACUGAAGCUU